AUACGGAGGGUGCGAGCGUUAAUCGGAAUUACUGGGCGUAAAGGGCGCGUAGGCGGAUUGUCAAGUCAGAGGUGAAAGCCCUGGGCUCAACCCGGGAACUGCCUUUGAAACUAACAGUCUUGAGUCCGAGAGAGGAUGGCGGAAUUCCCAGUGUAGAGGUGAAAUUCGUAGAUAUUGGGAAGAACACCAGUGGCGAAGGCGGCCAUCUGGCUCGGUACUGACGCUGAGGCGCGAAAGCGUGGGGAGCAAACAGGAUUAGAAACCCCAGUAGUCC
rnacentral:rRNA from 1 species